rnacentral:rRNA from 1 species
UGGGGAAUAUUGCACAAUGGAGGAAACUCUGAUGCAGCGACGCCGCGUGAAGGAUGAAGUAUUUUCGGUAUGUAAACUUCUAUCAGCAGGGAAGAAAAUGACGGUACCUGACUAAGAAGCCCCGGCUAACUACGUGCCAGCAGCCGCGGUAAUACGUAGGGGGCAAGCGUUAUCCGGAUUUACUGGGUGUAAAGGGAGCGUAGACGGCUUUGCAAGCCAGAUGUGAAAGCCCGGGGCUCAACCCCGGGACUGCAUUUGGAACUGUAAUGCUAGAGUGUCGGAGAGGCAAGUGGAAUUCCUAGUGUAGCGGUGAAAUGCGUAGAUAUUAGGAGGAACACCAGUGGCGAAGGCGGCUUGCUGGACGAUGACUGACGUUGAGGCUCGAAAGCGUGGGGAGCAAAACAGGAUUAGAUACCCUGGUAGU